rnacentral:rRNA from 1 species
UACGUAGGGGGCAAGCGUUAUCCGGAUUUACUGGGUGUAAAGGGAGCGUAGACGGCGAUGCAAGUCUGAAGUGAAAGGCGGGGGCCCAACCCCCGGACUGCUUUGGAAACUGUAUGGCUGGAGUGCAGGAGAGGUAAGUGGAAUUCCUAGUGUAGCGGUGAAAUGCGUAGAUAUACGGAGGAACACCAGUGGCGAAGGCGGAUUGCUGGACAGUAACUGACGCUGAGGCGCGAAAGCGUGGGGAGCAAACAGG